UACGGAGGUGGCAAGCGUUGUUCGGAAUUACUGGGCGUAAAGGGCGAGUAGGUGGCCAUCUAAGUCAGACGUGAAAUCCCCCGGCUUAACCUGGGAACUGCGUCUGAUACUGGACGGCUUGAGUAUGGGAGAGGAACGUAGAAUUCCAGGUGUAGCGGUGAAAUACGUAGAUAUCUGGAGGAACACCGGUGGCGAAGGCGGCAUCCUGGACCAACACUGACACUGAGGAGCGAAAGCCAGGGGAGCAAACGGG
rnacentral:rRNA from 1 species